GAUGGCUCACGCCUGUAAUCCCAACACUUUGGGAGGCUGAGGCAGGCAGAUCACCUAAGGUCAGGAGUUCAAGAUCAGGCUGGCCAGCAUAGUAAAACCCUGCCUCUACUAAAAAUACAAAAAGUAGCCGGGCGUGGUGGCACACGCCCGUAGUUCCAGCUACUUAGGAGGCUGAGUCUGGAAAAUCGCUUGAAGCCAGGAGGCAGAGGUUGUGGGGAGCUGAGAUCGUGCCAUUGCACUCCAGCCUGGGUGACAAGAGCAAAACUCCAUCUUAAAACAAACAAACAACAACAAAAACAAAAAACCAAAACAAACAAAAAAAAUUACUACAAUUUCCAAAGCCUUCAGCUGUCAGCAGAGCCAGAGUCCAGCUGGGAAAGGCAAGUACAGCUGAGAAAGUAGCAAAGAAGUCCAACAGUGACACAGAAGUUAAUUAAGAAGAAGGCCAUUUAUUGGAUUGAAAUUCUAACUUAGAUGAAACAGAUAUCUGUUACAAAUGCCUUCCUUGAAGGACCUGCAAAUCAGUCAGGGAAAAAAAAAAUGCCUCAGGAUUUAAGACUUUGAAAGUACUGUGAUGUUUGAAUCCAACCACAAAACCAAGGAUAAUGAGCCACACCCAUCCACAUGUGCUGUUACAACUUUCCCAUUGGAUUUCAAAUAACCCUUCUUCCAUCACUUUGCAGUAACUCAAAAGCUGUAGCCUUUAUGAUGCCUAUGUUCACAAACUUUAGGUGUUUUAAAACUAAAAUACCACAUUGAUUGUAGCAUUAUGCAUUUCUUAAUCAUUUCUUAUAUAAAACUAUGGUACUAUUUUAAAAUUAGGUUCCUAUUUUUGUUCUAAUCUUUCACUGAAUAAGUUUUUAAAUGUUGUGCUACUAGCUUCAUUUUUCCCAUGAGACCUAUGGUUUUUAUUGUACAAUUUUGCACAGCAUAAUAAUUUUUAAGAACACAUAAGUUGUGUUGUAGCAGAACUGACUGUAACUUCUUUCUCUUAUGGUGAGAAACCUGCCUCCCAUUAUCUACAGUUGAUUUACUUAUUUAUUCAACCCUACCCUACAUGUAGAGUAGUUUGAGAAUUGCUAACCCAUACUCUAGAGAGAGGUAGAUUUGCCAGCUAGAAGGGUGCUGAUGUAUGGUUCCUUUUGUCUUCAGCCUUACGGUGUCCAGUCAAAGUACAGUUAUCCAAAGUUUCUUAAGUCAGAUCCUUUCCCCCAUCCCUUCCCCUUCAGUAAGGUAAUGUCAUAUAUUAGUAAUAUGGUUCGAUUUAUUUGUCAUUUUCUGCAUUCUAUCCUGGGAUUUCCCUAUCUUGGCUGACUUGUUAUUAAAUUUGCAUGCAGCAAAGUCCAUUUUUGGGAUGUAUACCUCUUUGGAUUUUGACAAGUGCAUUGAGUCAUCUAUCCAACACCCCUGUACCAUACAGAAUAAUUCUAUCACCCUAAAAAUUCCCUUGUAUUCCCCCUUUAUAUUCAACCCUUCCAUUCGUCCUCAACCCCUGGUAGCCAUGAUCUGUUUCUUAUUUUUAUAGUUUUGCCUUUUCAUGAUGUCAUAUAAAUUGAACCAUAUUGUAUAUAGCCUUCUGGGUCUGGAUUAUUAAAUUUAACAGAAUGCAUUCAAGAUCUGUAUACACUGUAUCCACUCAGUAGCUCAUUCUUUUAAAAUUGAUGUAUAUAUUCCAUUUUAUGGAAAAAAAAUAUAUAUAUACACACACACAUAUUUGGAAGAUAUAUAUAUUUGUUCAUUCACCUAUUGAGGGACAUCUUGGCUUUUUCCAGUUAUUGGUGAUUAUUAAUAAAGCUGUUAUAAACAUUUGUAUAUGGGUUUUUCUGUGAACAUAAGUUUUCCGCUCAUUUGGGUAAGCCCCGGGAGUGGAACCACCAAGUUGUAUGGCAAAUGUAUUUCUAAUUUUAUAAGGAACUGCUAAGUUGUCUUUCAAAGCGGCUGUACCAUUUAAAAUAGCUACCUGCAAUUAAAGAGGGUUACUGUUGCUCUGUGUCUUUCUCAGCAUUUGGGAUUGUUCCUUUUUUAUUUUAGCCAUCCUAAUAGAUACAUAGUAUUAUAUCAUUGUUGUUUUAACUUGCAUUUCACUAGUGACAAAUAAUGUUGAGCAUCUUUUCAUGUGCUUAUUUUCCAUUUAAAAAUAUUUUUCUGGGCCAGGCAUGGUGGCUUAUUCCUGUAAUCCCAGCACUUUGGGAGGCCGAGGUGGGCAGAUCACCUGAGAUCAAGAGUUUGAGAUCAGCCUGGCCAACAUAGUGAAACCCUGUCUCUACUAAAAAUACAAAAAUUAGGUGGGCGUGGUGGCGGGUGCCUGUAGCCCAGCUACUGGGGAGGCUGAGGCAGGAGAAUCACUUGAACCAGGGAGGCAGAGGUUGCAGUGAGCCGAGAUGGUACCACUGCACUCCAGCCUGGGACACAGAGCAAGACUCAGUCUCAAAAA
rnacentral:lncRNA from 1 species